AACGUUUCAUCUCAUAUCCGCAAGUCCAAGAAGGAUGUAGCUACCAGUACAGCCCAACUUGAAUAUAUUCCCAACUAUUUUUAUGGGGGACAGGAAAGGGAGCUUCAGGCCAAACGGCUAUAAUAUUCAUCCAUGGC